rnacentral:rRNA from 1 species
GUGGGGAAUUUUGGACAAUGGGCGCAAGCCUGAUCCAGCAAUGCCGCGUGCAGGAAGAAGGCCUUCGGGUUGUAAACUGCUUUUGUACGGAACGAAACGGUCCUGGCUAAUAUCCGGGGCUAAUGACGGUACCGUAAGAAUAAGCACCGACUAACUACGUGCCAGCAGCCGCGGUAAUACGUAGGGUGCGAGCGUUAAUCGGAAUUACUGGGCGUAAAGCGUGCGCAGGCGGUGCUGUAAGACAGGCGUGAAAUCCCCGGGCUCAACCUGGGAAUUGCGCUUGUGACUGCAGUGCUGGAGUGCGGCAGAGGGGGAUGGAAUUCCGCGUGUAGCAGUGAAAUGCGUAGAUAUGCGGAGGAACACCGAUGGCGAAGGCAAUCCCCUGGGCCUGCACUGACGCUCAUGCACGAAAGCGUGGGGAGCAAACAGGAUUAGAUACCCUAGUAGUCC